rnacentral:rRNA from 1 species
UGGUCAAUUAGAGGAAGUAAAAGUCGUAACAAGGUUUCCGUAGGUGAACCUGCGGAAGGAUCAUUAUCGAAAUCGAAAGCCUAGGAGAAAGGGGGGGGGAUGCGGGGCUGUCGCUGGCCUCUUUGGCAUGUGCACGCGUUGGUCCCUCUCCCGCCUUCGAAGCUUUCAACUUCUCAACACCUGUGUGCACCCGCUGUAGGUCCUUCGGGACCUAUGUCUUCUCUUCCGAACUCGCAUGUCUACAGAAUGUGUAUGCGUCGCGUUGGCGACUGCGAAACCUUUGUACAACUUUCAGCAAUGGAUCUCUUGGCUCUCGCAUCGAUGAAGAACGCAGCGAAUCGCGAUAAGUAAUGUGAAUUGCAGAUUUUCCGUGAAUCAUCGAAUCUUUGAACGCACCUUGCGCUCCUUGGUAUUCCGAGGAGCAUGCCUGUUUGAGUGUCAUCGAAAUAUCGGACCGAAUGACUUCGAUGCUGUCGGAGCUCGGUUUCGGAUGUUGGGAGUGGUGCGGGCGGCAACGUCGGCUCUCCUCAAAAGCAUUAGCUGUGGGCGCGAGCCUCGCAUGGCACGGCCGCUUUGACGUCGUAAUGAUCGUCGUGGGCUUGGAAGUGCGUGGGUUGACGUGUCUCCACGCUUCGAAACCUUCUGCGAGUCCGUCCGUCGUCCGGACGGUCGCACGUAUCGAUGCUUGACCUCAAAUCAGGUAGGACUACCCGCUGAACUUAAGCAUAUCAAUAAGCGGAG